UACGGAGGGUGCGAGCGUUGUCCGGAAUUACUGGGCGUAAAGGGCGCGUAGGUGGCCUUGUUAGUCAGACGUGAAAUCCCCAAGCUUAACUUGGGAACUGCGUCUGAUACUGCAAGGCUUGAGUUCGGGAGAGGGAUGUGGAAUUCCAGGUGUAGCGGUGAAAUGCGUAGAUAUCUGGAGGAACACCGGUGGCGAAGGCGGCAUCCUGGACCGAAACUGACACUGAGGCGCGAAAGCCAGGGGAGCAAACGGG
rnacentral:rRNA from 1 species